UGGGGAAUUUUGGACAAUGGGCGCAAGCCUGAUCCAGCCAUGCCGCGUGUCUGAAGAAGGCCUUCGGGUUGUAAAGGACUUUUGUCAGGGAAGAAAAGCUUGAGGCUAAUACCCUUGAGUGAUGACGGUACCUGAAGGAUAAGCACCGGCUAACUACGUGCCAGCAGCCGCGGUAAUACGUAGGGUGCGAGCGUUAAUCGGAAUUACUGGGCGUAAAGCGGGCGCAGACGGUUACUUAAGUCAGAUGUGAAAUCCCCGGGCUCAACCUGGGAACUGCGUUUGAAACUGGGUGGCUAGAGUAUGUCAGAGGGGGGUAGAAUUCCACGUGUAGCAGUGAAAUGCGUAGAGAUGUGGAGGAAUACCGAUGGCGAAGGCAGCCCCCUGGGAUAAUACUGACGUUCAUGCCCGAAAGCGUGGGUAGCAAACAG
rnacentral:rRNA from 1 species